rnacentral:rRNA from 1 species
AGAGUUUGAUCCUGGCUCAGAAUCAACGCUGGCGGCGUGCCUAACACAUGCAAGUUGAGCGCUUGAGGGGGGCAACCCCCAAGAGAGCAGCGAACGGGUGAGUAACGCGUGGGUGAUCUUCCCUCGAGUGGGGAACAACAUCGGGAAACUGGUGCUAAUUCCGCAUAAUACCCUGGGGCUACGAGCCUCAGGAUCAAAGCCGGGGACCGCAAGGCCUGGCGCUUGAAGAUGAGCCCGCGUCCGAUUAGCUAGUUGGCGGGGUAAUGGCCCACCAAGGCUUCGAUCGGUAGCCGGCCUGAGAGGGCGGACGGCCACACUGGAACUGAGACACGGUCCAGACUCCUACGGGAGGCAGCAGUGGGGAAUUUUUCGCAAUGGGCGCAAGCCUGACGAAGCAACGCCGCGUGGAGGAUGAAGGUCUUCGGAUUGUAAACUCCUGUCGACCGGGACGAAUGCACUCGACCUAAUACGUCGGAAUGUUGACGGUACCGGUGGAGGAAGCCACGGCUAACUCUGUGCCAGCAGCCGCGGUAAUACAGAGGUGGCAAGCGUUGUUCGGAAUUACUGGGCGUAAAGGGCGCGUAGGCGGCCUUGUAAGUCUCGUGUGAAAGCCCUCNGCUUAACUGAGGAUCUGCACGGGAUACUGCGAGGCUUGAGUUCGGGAGAGGAAAGCGGAAUUCCGGGUGUAGCGGUGAAAUGCGUAGAUUUCCGGAGGAACACCAGUGGCGA